GUGGCAGAGGAGACACCGCCGCAGUUGUCGCCACCUCCGGGAUUUCUGGUUAUUUUCUCUUCGCCUUAAAUUCGGGUGUCUUUUAUGAAUAAUCAAAAGCAGCAAAAGGCAACGCUAUCAAGCCAGCGUUUUAAAACCAGAAAAAGAUGAAAAAGAGAGGUUUGACCCUACUCAGUUUCAAGACUGCAUUUAUUCAAGGCUUAACUGAAACUGGCACUGAUUUGGAAGCAGUAGCAAAGUUUCUUGAUGCUUCUGGAGCAAAACUUGAUUACCACCGAUAUGCAGAAACACUCUUUGACAUUCUGGUGGCCGGUGGAAUGCUGGCCCCAGGUGGUACACUGGCAGAUGACAUGAUGCGUACAGAUGUUAGUGUGUUCGCAGCACAAGAAGACCUAGAGACCAUGCAAGCAUUUGCUCAGGUUUUUAACAAGUUAAUCAGGUGCUACAAAUACCUGGAGAAAGGUUUUGAAGAUGGAAGUUAAAAAGCUGCUGCUGUUCUUAAAGGGUUUUUCAGAGUCGGAGAGGAACAAGCUGGCUAUGUUGACUGGUGUUCUUCUGGCUAAUGGAACACUUAAUGCAACCAUUCUUAAUAGCCUUUAUAAUGAGAAUUUGGUUAAAGAAGGGGUUUCAGCAGCUUUUGCUGUAAAGCUCUUUAAAUCAUGGAUAAAUGAAAAAGAUAUCAAUGCAGCAGCUCCAAGUCUUCGGAAAGUGAGCAUAGAUAACAGACUGAUGGAACUUUUUCCUGCCAAUAAACAAAGUGUUGAACACUUCACAAAGUAUUUUACUGAGGCAGGCUUGAAAGAGCUUUCACAGUAUGUUUGGAAUCAGCAAACUACAGGAGCUCGUAAGGGACUCCAGAAAGAACUUCAAGAACAGAUGUCCCGUGGUGAUCCAUUUAAGGAUAUAAUUUUGUAUGUCAAGGAGGAGAUGAAAAAAAACAACAUUCAUUUCAUGAAAGCCUUCCAGAAAAUAGUGGUGCUUUUUUAUAAAGCUGAAGUUCUGAGUGAAGAACCCAUUCUGAAGUGGUAUAAAGAUGCACAUGUUGCCAAGGGGAAAAGUGUCUUCCUUGAACAAAUGAAAAAGUUUGUAGUGGCUCAAAAAUGCUGAAGAGUCUGAGUCUGAAGCUGAAGGAGGUGACUGAAUUUGAAACUACACCCUCAGUAAAGCAAAAAGGAUUUGUAGAUAAAAUAUCAUGUCUCAUGUGUCCUGGUUCUUACAUCUUCCUACCUCCCUAUAUCAAGCAUGAUAUAAGGGCUUUCAUGGCAAAUUUUAACUGUUUCUAUGGUUACUGGAAAUGUUGGAUUUAGUUUCUGAAACCAUGUUUUAAGUAGCUACAGGAGCUACAGAUUUGAAUUUAAUGUUGCAUUAGUCUUUUCAGUUAUCUUCUACCUCCUGUAUUUUCUAAUGUAAUAAUGUAAUUUAAGGCCUUCCACAAUGAACAGUUCACUUUUUUCAUGGGUUUUCUAUAUAAACAGUUUUCAAGAUAUGAUUUGGUUAAAAAUAAUUUGUUAUAAAAAUUGUUUGCAAAUUAAACUGUAAAGGUA